rnacentral:rRNA from 1 species
GGGACGAACGCUGGCGGCGUGCUUAACACAUGCAAGUCGAACGGUGAAGCACCUUCGGGUGUGGAUCAGUGGCGAACGGGUGAGUAACACGUGGGCAACCUGCCCCUGACUUCGGAAUAACUUCGGGAAACCGAAGCUAAUACCGGAUACGACCUCGAGCGGCAUCGCUCGUGGUGGAAAGUUUUUCGGUCAGGGAUGGGCCCGCGGCCUAUCAGCUUGUUGGUGGGUAACGCCUACAAGGCGACUACGGGUAG